ACUUUGCUCAAUGAAAUGUUUCCUCUUGGUCCCAUCCUUGUUGAUGCAUCCAUGGCUUGACUCGUGGUACUCCGCUCCCACUUGCAUUGGCUCGACUGGCUCCUCUCAUCACAAUUGAAUAGCACCUAACCUCUAUGGCUUCUCAUAGUGCUCACCCUUAGUUUUUUUAUUCCUUAUAAGACAUUACUAUAGUUGAUAACCUCACUCACAUUGAGCA
rnacentral:lncRNA from 1 species